UGUCAUGCUUUUCCACAGCUUUCUUGAACUUCUUGUGUUGGUAUUUUUUUCAAUUAAGAAUAUAUAUCUAUCUGUACAUACAGAAGUUCAAGAAUGCUGUGGGAAGACAUGGCAA
rnacentral:pre_miRNA from 1 species